CGACGUCUCGGGAGGUGAUGAUGCCC
rnacentral:piRNA from 1 species